GCUAUGGGGUGGUGUGGGGUUAUGGGGUGAUGGGGGGGAUAUGGGGUGAUAGGGGGCUAUGGGGUGGUGUGGGGUUAUGGGGUGGUGUGGGGAUAUGGGGUAAUAUGGGGCUAUGGGGUGGUGUGGGGUAUGGGGUUAUGGGGUGAUAUGGGGUUGUGGGGUGCUGGAGGUUAUGGGUUUAUGGGGUGAUGGGGGGUUAUGGGAUGGUGUGGGGUUAUGGGGGGGUAUGGGGAGGUAUGGGGGGGUUAUGGGGCGCUAUGGGGCACUGUGGGUCAGUUAUGGGGCGCUAUGGGGCUCUAUGAGGCACUAUGGGACUCUAUGGAUCUCUAUGUGUCUCUAUGGGGCAGUUAUGGGGCGGUUAUGGGUCUCUAUGUGUCUCUACGUGUCUCUAUGGCUCUCUAUGGCUCUCUGUGUCUCUAUGGGGCAGUUAUGGGGCAGUUAUGGGGCACUAUGUGUCCCUAUGGCUCUCUAUGUGUCUCUAUGUGUCCCUAUGGCUCUCUGUGUGUCUCUAUGGGGCGGUUAUGGAGCAGUUAUGGGGCGCUAUGGCUCUCUGUGUCUCUAUGUGUCCCUAUGUGUCUCUAUGUGUCUCUAUGGGGCAGUUAAGGGGCAGUUAUGGGGUGGUUAUGGGGCGGUUAUGGGGCAGCUGUGGGGCAGUUAUGGCUCUCUAUGGCUCUCUAUGUGUCUCUAUGUGUCUCUAUGGCUCUCUAUGUGCCCCUAUGGGGCAGUUAUGGGGCAGUUAUGGGGUGGUUAUGGGGCAGUUAUGGCUCUCUGUGUCUCUAUGUGUCUCUAUGUGUCCCUAUGUGUCUCUAUGUGUCUCUAUGGGGCAGUUAAGGGGCAGUUAUGGGGUGGUUAUGGGGCGGUUAUGGGGCAGUUCUGGGGCGGUUAUGGGGCGCUAUGGGGCGCUAUGUGUCUCUAUGUGUCUCUAUGUGUCUCUAUGUGUCCCUAUGGCUCUCUAUGUGCCCCUAUGGGGCAGUUAAGGGGCAGUUAAGGGGCGGUUAUGGGGCUGUUAUGGGGCGCUAUGGGGCACUAUGGGGCAGUUAUGGGGCAAUUAUGGGGCGGUUAUGGGGCGGUUAUGGCUCUCUAUGUGUCUCUAUGUGUCUCUAUGGGGCGGUUAUGGGGCAGUUAAGGGGCGGUUAUAGGGCGGUUAUGGGGCGGUUAUGGGGCGGCUAUGGGGCAGUUAUAUGGCGGUUAUGGCUCUCUAUGUGUCUCUAUGUGUCUCUAUGUGUCUCUAUGUGUCUCUAUGUGUCCCUAUGGCUGUCUAUGUGCCCCUAUGGGGCAGUUAAGGGGCAGUUAAGGGGCGGUUAUGGGGCAGCUAUGGGGCGCUAUGGGGCAGUUAUGGGGCAAUUAUGGGGCGGUUAUGGCUCUCUUUGUGUCUCUAUGUGUCUCUAUGGGGCGGUUAUGAGGCAGUUAAGGGGCGGUUAUAGGGCGGUUAUGGGGCGGUUAUGGGGCGGCUAUGGGGCAGUUAUAUGGCGGUUAUGGCUCUCUAUGUGUCUCUAUGUGUCUCUAUGUGUCUCUAUGUGUCCCUAUGGCUCUCUAUGUGCCCCUAUGGGGCAGUUAAGGGGCAGUUAAGGGGCGGUUAUGGGGCAGCUAUGGGGCGCUAUGGGGCAGUUAUGGGGCAAUUAUGGGGCGGUUAUGGCUCUCUAUGUGUCCUAUGUGUCCCUAUGUGUCUCUAUGUGUCCCUAUGGGGCGGUUAUGGGGCAGUUAUGGGGCGGUUAUGGGGCAGUUAUGGGGCGGCUAUGGGGCGCUUUGGGCUAGUUAUAUGGCGGUUAUGACUCUCUAUGUGUCCCUAUGUGUCUCUAUGUGUCUCUAUGGGGCGGUUAUGGGGCAGUUAUGGGGCGGUUAUGGGGCAGUUAUGGGGCGGCUAUGGGGCGCUAUGGGGCAGUUAUAUGGCGGUUAUGGCUCUCUAUGUGUCUCUAUGUGUCUCUAUGGGGCGGUUAUGGGGCAGUUAUGGGGCGGCUAUGGGGCACUAUGGGGCGCUAUGGGGCAGUUAUAUGGUGGUUAUGGCUCUCUAUGUGUCUCUAUGUGUCUCUAUGUGUCUCUAUGUGUCUCUAUGGGGCGGUUAUGGGGCGGUUAUGGGGUGGCUAUGGGGCAGUUAUGGGGCAAUUAUGGGGCGGUUAUGGGGCGGUUAUGGCUCUCUGUGUGUCUCUAUGUGUCUCUAUGGGGCGGUUAUGGGGCAGUUAAGGGGCAGUUAAGGGGCGGUUAUGGGGCAGCUAUGGGGCGCUAUGGGGCGGCUAUGGGGCGCACCCCCACCUGCGGCGCUGUUGCGGUACGCGAAGCCGUCGGGGGAGGGCCACGCGGCGGAGUCCAACUCGUACCAAUGGGCGCCGUCGGAGGGGGGCGCUGCGGAUCUGUGGGGCGGUUAUGGGGGACCCCAAAGCCGUCAGUCCACUGCGGGGCCACUGCCGACCCCACGGAUCGCUGCGCUCACCCCAUAACCCGUAACCCAUCACCCAUAACCCCAUAACCCAUAACCCCAUAACCCCAUAACCCUAUAACCCCAUAACCAAUCCCAUAACCCAUAACCCCAUAACCAACUCCAUAACCCCAUAACCCAUAACCCCAUAACCCAUAACCCCAUAACCCUAUAACCCCAUAACCAAUCCCAUAACGCAUAACCCCAUAACCAACUCCAUAACCCCAUAACCCAUAACCCCAUAACCCAUAACCCCAUAACCCUGUAACCCCAUAACCCUAUAACCCCAUAACCAAUCCCAUAACGCAUAACCCCAUAACCCCAUAACCCAUAACCCCAUAGCCAACCCCAUAACCCAUAACCCCAUAACCCAUAACCCAUAACCCUAUAACCCCAUAACCAAUCCCAUAACGCAUAACCCCAUAACCCCAUAACCCAUAACCCCAUAGCCAACCCCAUAACCCAUAACCCCAUAACCCAUAACCCAUAACCCUAUAACCCCAUAACCAAUCCCAUAACCCAUAACCCAUAACCCUAUAACCCCAUAAGCAACCCUGUAACCCGAUAAUCCAUAACCCCAUAACCCCAUACCAACCCCAUACCAACCCCAUAACCCCAUACCAACCCCAUAUCAACCCCAUAACCCCAUACCAACCCCAUAACCCCCCACCCCAUAAC
ensembl:lncRNA